rnacentral:lncRNA from 1 species
CCCCUGGUCGGGUCGGAGGCAGCAGGCACAGUACGUACAUAUAUGUAUCUAUAUAUAUACCUAUAAUCAGUGGACAUUUCAUGGGGUUUAUUCCUUGUCUAUCUAGCAAAACCAAUCAUAAGCAUGGAUUAAUACUAGACAGACCUAACAAUAAUCAUAUGUAUAGCGGUGACAAAUAAGCUGGAUGGAUGGGCAGCUGGGUCCUCCUACUCCCUCCCUCUUCUCUGUACAAUGAGAAUACGAGGCCCAUCGAUCAUCCAUCCGUCCUCGGAUUAGUAGUAGCAUCCGGUACUCUGCGACUUCUUUUUAAUUACUACGACUAGUAGACUGCUGCUUGCUACCAUGUGCUCCAAUUCAGUUUCAGUUGCCGUUCUCGCUUGAUCCGGAAUACCCGUAGGGGUUCUUGCUUGCCCAGUUCCACAGGUCUCUGCACAUCUCCUCAAUCCCGUACUUUGCCCUGCAAUUUCAGUUUUCAUUCAGUUUCCAUUAGGAUCCAUCGGUCCAUCAACCACCAUCUGUAGCAGAACGGCAACUAUGUAUACAUCAUCUGUGCUAACUACUUACUUCCAUUUCAACUCCUUCUCGGCCUUGGCCGUUGCGGCAUAAACAAUCUCCGCAUCUCCAGGUCUUCGCCCAGCAAACACCAGAGGGAUUUUCUGAAAGAAUCAAUAUGCCAGUCAGUUGAUAAGUCGUCUGGGAACUGGCCGAUGAGUUAAACAUCCAUCAGAGAGGACAUACGUGCAAGCUGGCUUAAAUAAACUCUUACCUUGCCAGAAGCCUUCUCAAAUGCAGCCACCAUUUCCAGCACUGACGUACCCUUUCCUGUGCCCAGAUUGUAUACUUCACACCCUGCGUGUAUCAAGAUUACAAUACCACGAAACAGAUCAGCAUCUCAUCAUUAGGUAGCUUUUGGUGAAACAGUAGCUGAGGUGUCGAUGUAAUUUACAAUCAAGAGCUGCUUGAAUAAGGUUGCAAGCCUGUCCUCUUACCUAUUUUGUCUGAGUCUUCGUAGAGCUUCCUCAGAGCUGCUAUGUGCCCAUCAGCCAGGUCAACAACGUGGAUGUAAUCACGCACCUGGAAGGUGUUUUAUUUACAGGAAUACUUAUAUUAGUAACAAGCUGGAUUUCUGAAUAGCCUAGUAUAUAUGAUGUAAUAACAGAGCAGAUAGAGUACAUACCCCAGUUCCAUCCUUUGUGUUGUAGUCCGUCCCAUAAACUGUCAGGUGAGGUCUCCUCCCAACAGCAACUUGCUGAACAUAGGGCAUCAGGUUGUUUGGGACUCCAGAGGGGUCUUCACCAAUGUAUCCGCUUGGAUGAGCACCAACAGGGUUGAAGUAUCUAAGCAGUAUGAUCUUCCAGUCAGGGUCUGAACGGUGGACAUCACGGCAGAUAUCUUCAAUCACAAGCUGCAGCAAAGUAUCAUCACAUCUUAGUCAGAUUCUUUUUUCUACUUCCUUAUUCCAUUUUGAGGGCACAUGUAUUAUGUAAUUAAAAAGACAAUUAUUUUUGGGAAAUAAAAGAACCUUGGUUCGCCCAUAGGGGUUGGUGGCGCAAAGGGGGAAUUCUUCAGUGCAUGGCACUUCCUUGGGCCACCCAUAAACAGUUGCGGAUGACGAGAACACCAGCUGUGAUGACAAAGAAACAUGUUCAGUUAGCUUUCCUAGGCCAGACAUAUCAAUCUGAUGCAUACAUCACUCCAGUUGCUCUUGCUGCAUGUAUGCAAACAUGACUACAAAUUAGUGCUGGCAUAUUAUAUAAGAAAAUUUUGCUGGGGGCCAGGGGUGAUUUUGCAGUUCCUGGUCUAUGUUUCACCACAGAAAAUAUCAUCACAGAGCAGUACGAAGCAGAAAACACUAGAUGGAUGGAUUGCCUGCUGGCCACAGCUACCAGAAUCUGGGACCAUCUCAUUCAAGAUGUUGUCACGUAUGGCAUGCCUGCAUGGCUCCUCCGUGACACAAAUUUACAACUUGGGUGGCAGAUGAUGAAAAGAAAAAAGGCAGCGCACCUGGUCCAGAAAGCUAACUAGGACACCAGCAUCCUGUGACCCCAGCAACACAAAUGCAAUGCAAAGUAGGCCAACCAAAGCAAGUUGUAAAGCAAACAAGAUUGCCCAAGAAUGCAGGGCCGGAGAAAAAGACGGAAAGCCUACUUGGCGUAAUAGUACCAAACAAUUACCUUCUUGCAGCCAUGUGCAGCCAUCACCUCGAGGAGGGUGAUGGUGCCGAUGAGGUUGUUGUCAUAGUAAUGCAGGGGCUUCUGCACGCUCUCGCCAACAGCUUUGAGCCCAGCAAAGUGAAUCACAGCUUCAAACCUGCAACCACGAUUGGAGUUCUCUGUGUUAGAAGCAAAGGAAAUCUGAACCUUCUAAAGAUCAACAGCAGUGGCCCAGCCCUUCACGAAAAAAAUAAGCAUCACAGACUGCUGAGCUGAGCUGUGCUCUGAAUAAAUGGGGAGAGAGAGAGAGAGAGAGAGAGAGAGAGAGAGUAGUAGUAGCAGUGGCGGUGGUGGUGGUAGUGCAUUGUUUUCCAGCAGGCCAGGAGCCAAUUCAAUUCAAUCAUUCGACACCUAAGCAAAUACAAGCAAAGCAGCAGAUUCGGCAGGCAGGUAAGUCAAUAGUUCAUUUGAUUGGCAGGCUCCCAUGAAAGACUAGUGCUAAUGAUGUUACGCUAAUGAUAAAGCAAGCAAGGCCUUGUUUAGUUGGCCAAAUUGGGAGAUGCAAAAUUACUGUGCUGGCACUGUAGCACACUGUAGCGUUUCGUUUGUAUUUGUGAAUUAUUGUCCAAACAUUAACUAAUUAGGCUCAAAAGAUUCGUCUCGCAAAGUACAACAAAACUGUGCAAUUAGUUUUUAAUUUCAUCUACAUUUAGUACUCCAUGCAUGUACCGCAAGUUUGAUGUGAUGGGGAAUCUUCUUUUUGCAUAGUGCCAAAGUUGGGAGUUAGGGGUGAAGUAAACAAGGACCAAGAGUGUCAAGAUUACGAAUAAAGUAGUGGCAUACUGCAGCAAAUCAUUACUGGUUGGUUUAAAUUCCAACUGGCGCCCGCCGGGCGCAAAAGUGGUUAGUGUCAACCACGCCUCGACUCAUUGCUAGUUGGCAUCUUAAUAGUUACUUUAUUUAGCAUCUGUACUAUGUUUUUUUGGGAUUAUAAACUAACAGAACAGCGAGGUACAAGGGGCAGAGGUUGAUUCA